GCAUUGGUGGUUCAGUGGUGGAAUACUUGCUUUCCAUGCAGGGAACCUGGGUUCAAUUCCUGGCCAAUGCA
rnacentral:tRNA from 1 species